UCAAAGCGCGAGACGUCACUUCACGCAGCGAAAUGGAAGAUGCUUAUUUUCCUAAAAUUCAGUCAGCUCAACUAAAGCUACGUUAGCAAACACAUUAAGAAGUCGAUUUAUUUGAAGUUUUGAUGUUUACAGUUUUAUUUUUAAAGCUAAAUUAAAUGUACAUUUAGCCGAUAACGUAACGCCACAGAACAUCUUCAAGUGGGAACGUCAUCAACAAGUUUAUUUUUGGUAAAAAAAGGAAAAAAACAAAACACCUUUUGGGGGAUGUAACGUUACAUAUUUCAUACAUGACACCUAUCAAGUUUUUAUAUUUGUUCUGAUUAUUUAUGAAUCCCACAACCUUCCAUUCAAGUUCAGCAAAGAGGAUUUUGUGCCUUUCCUAUUGAAUUUUUUGCGGGAUCAGAGCAGCCAGACUUUGACCCAUGGCCCCACCACACCUGCCAAGACCCCAGCACCUCCAGAUCUGUCAGGACUCAGGGCUCUUAUGACCAGAGAAGCAACAGAUCCACAUCAGUUCAGUGUCCACACAGCACUAGUCGAGUUCCUGGAGCUGUUCUUCGUGCUGCAGCUCCUGACAUCUCGUGGCAUGUCUGUCUCCGAGUCUGCGGAGGGAGGAAUCAGUGUCUGUGAAGACAGCCCAGAUGUGCUGGAGAAAGCUAACCUGGGAAAUGUCCACAACUGUGUGUAUUUUUCUGUGAGGGUGUUGGAGAAUCAGUUUGACUGUCAGCCGGGGAGAGGAGAACAGGUGACAUGGAGCAGACAGCUCGACUUCUGGCCAAGUUUUUGGGCUUCAUCUCUUUCCUGCCUUACCAAACCUCUGAGCUGCCACCAAGAGACAUGCUUAGAAGCAAUGUCUGCAAUGUAUAAAGUCAAGAUUUUAUUUUGCCUAGAAAACACACAUUUUCACAACCUAAUUUGUUUUAUAUAUGUGUAUUGUCAGAGUUCUCCAGUGCUGGAUGUGUGUUUUUCUCUCAACUGUUUACUUUCACUUUAGACAUAAGCAUAACCACCUGUGUUUAUAUGUAAACCUUGUGUGUUUCUGACUGUAUUAGCACAUUCAGAUGUAAAAGAUAACUUAGUCCAGUCAGUAGUCAUUAGCUGUUUGACAGGAUUUUAGUGUAUGCACGCUUCAGGUGUAUGUGCUCAGAAAAAGGGCACAUCAGAACAACACACAAAUUAAAUAUUUAACAGGCAAGGCUUGUUAAAGCACAUGCAAAUAAUCUAUUUUGUAUUUUUUACACACUGUUGAAGAUGAGAGCAGUUUUUUAAUGCAUUAUUAAGUGAAAGAAAGUGGUUCAACUGACCACAAAACUCACUGUUCGGAUCAUAUCACGGUUUUAUGGAUCAGCAAGAAAAAAAAAUUCUGUGUAAUUUUGCUUUCCGUUUUUUACUUAAAGCGAAGUACUUCUUUGAUACCACCGGAAAAGCUACUAACCUAACUAGAAAGACCCAGUACAAUUAAAGACAAGUUGCCGGGGAACACAUAGAGCAUCUGCUAAAUGCAUAAAUUUAAAUGUAAUUUAAUUUAAUUUAAAGACAAGUGAACAGCCAGUAAAAAACAAAUACACAAAUCACAAGCAUAGAUAUAUAUAACAGAACAAAUGUAUAAAUAACUUGUUCUUGCGCUGGAAUGGUUUAAAAUCACUCGAGUGUGUAAAUACAUACAAAUGGUACACUUUCUUAAUGCUAUUAUGGUAAAACUGUCUUAUUAAUCCACAGAUCACAUGCAUGCUGAACCAUGGUGCCUGGUCCGUGUGAUCUGUUUAACCCCUAAUAAUUAUUUAUCAUAUCACAGUUGACCAAAUUGUGCAGCCUGGACAAAGAGAUGGGUUAUGAGCCUGUCAAAUCUUUCUAUUACUGUCCCUCUUUUAUCCCUAUCUUUCCUGAAGAUCUCUUCUUCAGCACAGAUCUAAUGGAAGAAGUUAAGGAACUGGAGGAUAUUACAGGGGCUGGACACCCGCCCAUUAGUGGACCAACAGAUUAUCUGUACUUGGUGUCCAUAUUUAGGUGAAAGUGAACUGUUUGGAAAAAAAAUAUGCCUUUAAAUAAUGUAUUUUAAUAAGCUUCGGUUGGAAUAAAUUCCAGGAUGAUGGAGGUAUCUUUACGUAAUUCUUUUUGGGGCAAGGGAGUUUCCUGAACAUCUUGCUGAUUUGUGGCUGGUAGUACAUCCAAGAGUAGAGGCUUAAUUCACAAGAUCACCCCCACACCUGCAGAACUGAGGGGACCUUCCACCACCCGUUCACAACAGAAACUUCAGGUUGACCUGGAACAGGCCUUCUUUCACAACCAGCCUCCAUCUCUCAGACGGACUGUAGAGUUUGUUGCUGAGAGUCGGUUCCAACUGCGUCAAACACAUCAAGGCUAUGCUUGUGUUGGAGCUUGUGAAGGUUGGGGAGAAAACUCUCAGAGAUGGUUUGGUUUAGGAUGAUGUCAAAACACGGCCAAGCUAAACAAUUCUAUCUCCGCUGAGCUGUGUGACGCAGGCAUGCAGGCUCUAGAGAGAGCAACCAGGUCAGCAACUCUCUUCUCUUAUUUUAUAUACAUCAUGUUUAUGGACAUGUUUUGGACUAGUUCUCCUCGGUCACAUCCUGUCGUGAUACAGUAGGUUUUGCAGUGAGAAUGCCCCUGGAGAUAUCAGAUGAUCUGUGAGUAAAACAGUCACUUUUCAUCAAUUCAAUCCAUUUAAAACCCUGUUGUACAAGAGAGAAAUGCUCAAACACAGUGUUUGUCUUGAGUGUACAAUGUUGUACAGUAAUACUAUCAAGUUCAUUUAUUUACUUUGCGAUAUAAUUAAUAUUUCGUGGUGUGGUUUAAGUCCUGACCACCGCUGACAGUAUCACAACUCGUUUGGCUACAGAAAAGGCUUGCAGCUGGCUCUCCUCCAACAUCACAAGUAGUGAAGCCUAAUUUUAGUAAAGUUUUAAAAUGGCAAAUGCUUCAUUAUUAAUUUUGUAGCAUGUUUUAAAAAAAAAUAAGGAUCUGAAAUAUUCAUGUUUGAAUUUAUCCCUCAGCACUGCUGAAGAGGGAGUGUAAGAGUGCGUUUGACAGGAUGAUGAAUAGUAUGCCCUCAUUCUUCUGUUUGGAUGCAGACGAGAGCAAGGGAUUGAGCAGGAUUUAGCAGGUCCAGAGGAGUACCUCAGGGCUUAGUGCUGGGUCCUCUUGUGUUUCAGACUGCACCCAUAAAGUUCCACAGGGAUCAGAAGUCAUGAUUGAAAUAAAGUUUCAGGUUCUGAGUGUUGCUGUAGGACUCAGAUCUGAUGAGCAGGUUUUCAGUCUUCAUCAGAUUGAGUCUUUCCUAGACAGAGUGGGACAAGCACUUGGAUGCAGAAAACUUCUCUCUCCCGUGGUUGAGCCAAUGUUGUUGUGUUGUACUGUUUAGUUGGCCUGCAAACUUGAAUCCGGGGGAGCUUCCAUUAGUGUCCUCAGCUGAGGGUAACAGGAGACCUGCGCUUCUUGAAAAGUUUCUAGUUUUGUGAGCUCGGAGUCCCUCUCCACCUCUGCACCUUAUGUUGCAUCCUUAUCCUGUGUGCAGUUUGUGGGAGUCUGUAGAGAUGUUUCAGCAGCUCUCUCUGGCCACAUGGACAUACUGCAGGUCUCUCAAUGAGCACAAGGGGGACGCACGAACCUACAUUACAAAUAUAAAAACACUAUUGUAUUCACAGCAACAAGUGAUGCAUGUUUGAACGAAAGAAUGAAUGUUCAAACCUACAAUAUAUAUGAUUGAAAAAAUAUUUUAAAGUCUUAUUUAUUGUUAGUUGCAAGAGAAUAUUUGCUGCAUAAGAAUGCUGAGUUGAUAAGAUUGUUAUUGACAGUUUAUAAACCUUUAAAACACAUUUUAGCAGGGCGUUUCCAGUUUUCACUUAUACUGCCUCAUAGUAGAGCAGGCUAAAGACCAUUCACUGUGUUAUUUAUUUGUUUUAAGUCUGUGUAAAUGUUUCUCUGCUUGUUUGUUGUUGAGUAUGAUUG